CAGUGAUUAAUUAUCUUGCUUUUACAGCCAAUUAAUAUACUGCUGUUCAAUGUAUACAAAUGUGUUAACACACAGAGAUAUAGCUUAUCUGAUCAAGAUAAGGACCAAUGAAAAUACAGGCUUCUGAAGCCAUUUUACACCUGUACCCCAAAAAAUAAUCCCAAUAUUUCUGCUUGGGUUUUUUUUUUUUUUUUUUUUUUAAUGUGAUCUUUGCAAAUGCUGUGAGCAAAUAAAUGGUCAAAUUUCCCCAUGAACUGUAUACUUAAAUAUUUUAAGAACAUUCUAUAUAUUCCCUUCAGUAACUAUAUUGUACCAAAGAAAAUGGCUCAUGAAUACAAAAAUUUGAAUGUAAACAGGAAGUUCUUUGUUCAUGCUGUUGGAGGCAAAUGGAAUAGAGCUAACUUGAAACUCUAAAAUGCUUUUAGAGAGAUAUCAGAUGAAAGAGUGUGCAUAUCUAGUUAUUUGAAGUAUGCCUAUGUAUGAAUUGAUGUAGUCAGAGAAAUCAGAUGGCUUCAGUGACUAUGCUACAGGAUGAUAUGAGAUCACAGACAGAAAUUCCAUCAAGGAUCAAGCAUAAAUUACAGAAUAUUUCAACUAUAAUUUAAAUGGCUGGAAUGAAGUUCCUGACACUGGUGAUGGUUUUGGAAAAGCAAAGAGACAUUCUGAUGCCACCUUGUAUUGAGCCUACGAUACUCCAAAAAUUUUCUAUCAAAUCAUUUUGAUAUUUAAUAUAUCUUUUAGUUUAAUUUUCAAGUUUAAGCUAAGUAAAUUUUUAUUUUUCUUAACCACAGAUGUAAAAACUGCUGGCAGAUGUGUUAUUCCCCUUGGAAUUUUAUACUUUUUGUGUUUUUGAAACCCAGACCUGUCUCAAUAUUUUAUUAAAAUAAU